GGAAUCUUGCGCAAUGGGCGAAAGCCUGACGCAGCAACGCCGCGUGGGGGAUGAAGGCUCUCGGGUUGUAAACCCCUUUCAGCAGGGACGAAAUUGACGGUACCUGCAGAAGAAGCCCCGGCCAAAUCCGUGCCAGCAGCCGCGGUAACACGUAGGGGGCAAGCGUUGUCCGGAUUUCUUGGGCGUAAAGAGCUCGUAGGCGGUUCAGUAAGUCGGGUGUGAAAACUCAGGGCUCAACCCUGAGACGCCACCCGAUACUGCUGUGACUCGAGUCCGGUAGGGGAGCGUGGAAUUCCUGGUGUAGCGGUGAAAUGCGCAGAUAUCAGGAGGAACACCAGCGGCGAAGGCGGCGCUCUGGGCCGGUACUGACGCUGAGGAGCGAAAGCGUGGGGAGCAAAC
rnacentral:rRNA from 1 species